GUAGGUGGCAAGCGUUGUCCGGAAUUAUUGGGCGUAAAGCGCGCGCAGGCGGUUCGUUUAAGUCUGAUGUGAAAGACCCACGGGCUCAACCGUGGAGGGUCAUUGGAAACUGGAGAACUUGAGUACAGAAGGGGAAAGCGGAAUUCCACGUGUAGCGGUGAAAUGCGUAGAGAUGUGGAGGAACACCAGUGGCGAAGGCGACUUUCUGGUCUGUAACUGACGCUGAGGCGCGAAAGCGUGGGGAGCAAACAGGAUUAGAUACCCUGGUAGUCCACGCCGUAAACGAUGAGUGCUAAGUGUUAGGGGGUUUCCGCCCCUUAGUGCUGCAGCUAACGCAUUAAGCACUCCGCCUGGGGAGUACGGCCGCAAAGGCUG
rnacentral:rRNA from 1 species